UACGUAGGGCGCAAGCGUUGUCCGGAAUUAUUGGGCGUAAAGAGCUCGUAGGUGGCUUGUCACGUCGGGUGUGAAAGCUUGGGGCUUAACUCCAGGUCUGCAUUCGAUACGGGCUGGCUAGAGGUAGGUAGGGGAGAACGGAAUUCCUGGUGUAGCGGUGAAAUGCGCAGAUAUCAGGAGGAACACCGGUGGCGAAGGCGGUUCUCUGGGCCUUACCUGACGCUGAGGAGCGAAAGCGUGGGGAGCAAACAGG
rnacentral:rRNA from 1 species